GCCGUGGCACGGCCAUAUGGGAAACUCGUCCCCGCUAAAUACGGAAAUAUCGCGUUGACUAACUGCCAGAGGGCAGCACAAAACGCUUUUCGAUCGUCACGACCCUGGUGGCGGCCACUGAAGCUCACGGUACAACAAGCUGCCGGCUGCCAUAUUGAAUCGAGAAACGAAGCGCGGGAAGCACGUUUCUUUGACAGUUUGGCCGCUUUCCCACGGCCGCAGGCCGUGACAGGCCGAAUUCUUGUCGCGCACGAGUGGCCAAAGAGCCAAGGAGUAUUCUUAACAGCCACAUCAUCGGCCCAGGGGCCUACUUCAGCCCCGGCGGGCACGCAAAGUGCGAGGUCGUCGGCGCAAGAUUACUGAAAACAAACUUUUGAGACUGCGCCAGUUUCCCGUCGUGCGCUUCCAAUUUAAUUUUUCCAACCUGGGAGAGAAUAUGAGAAAAACGCUGGUGCAAAUAAAAAUAUGUAGUCAACCAAAUUGUGGUAAACUGAUCUAUUUUUCUUCUUCUAAUUUUCAUUUUUUGCAGGAAUCGGAGUUUCUUUUUAUUAACUGAGAGUGCAGUUCAUUAUCUUGUGUUUGGAUACCUCAUUUUAUCACUUUUUGAUAUUGGUAGGAUCAUGAAUUAAGAGAAGGGUUUGGUAUCCCUAAGUGAACAUCCAUUAAGUUGUUUACCACUGGCAUGCAUCAAAUUUGUUGUUAAUAAAGAUUUAAAAAAAAAUGCGUUUACAUCAAAUUUGUUGUUAAUAAAGAUUUAAAAAAAAAUAUAAUAAUUCGUUUACAAUUGCAAUAUAAAUUUUCUUCCCUCAAAAGAAAUGUUUUGUAUCUUUCUGCUGACUAACCUCACAAGCAAAUUCUUGAUGUUGAUUCCAUGUUGAAUUUGUAAAUGAUGUAAAGAUGGUAGU